UUUAAUAUACAAAACAAUAUACCAUAUUUUGUAUAAAGUUUUUAAAAGACGAUUUUUUAAAUUUAGACAAGUUUAUUGGAAUAACUUAUUUUUUUGGUGAUUUUAUUGCUAUGGCUAACAAUGAUUUUGGCUUCUUGUGGCUAUUGAUAACUAUUUAGGUCUAUUGAGUCUGGAAAUCCCAAUAAUUGUUUUAAUGACAGUGAUAUUCCUUUGAAUAAUAUCAUUGACAAAUAUGGAAUGGAUUUACCUUCAUUUAAUGAUUUAGAAUAUCCAGCUGUUGACGACAAUAAAAUUAAAGCUAAAUUUAGUCUUCCAGGUUCUAGGUCUGGUGCUAACAUAUACACAAAUGGCUCAAAAUCUGAGAAUAGGUUAGGUUUGGAUAUAGUAGUUUAUAAAAAUGAUAGAAUCAUUUAUCAAGGAUACCUUAGGUCAGUGAUGGCGAACCACCUACCCACGAGUAACAAAUUACCCGCCAAUCCAUUUUCCAAUACCCACCAACCCAUUUUCCAAUAUUUAUUCUAAUUUAGCAU
rnacentral:lncRNA from 1 species